rnacentral:lncRNA from 1 species
GAUAUAAUCUUGAUCAGUGAGCCACCAAAUAGACUCGUUCAUAACAUCAUAAACCCUCCAGCAAACAAACGAAGAGAUUCCAGAUGGGAGUUCAACGCCUUUGGGAAGAAAGGUAACUUUACACGGAUGAAGCAAAGACGCAGCAGGUAUCUCAUCCUCGUGAAAGGAAUAAAAUAUCUCGUUAGGCUGAGCCUCCAAAAGGACGCCCUUGCCAAGCUUCAACUCACCGGGUCGGUAGAGCCAAUUCACACGCAGCUUAAAGUUGCCUUCUUUUUCAGGAAGAAGCAAACGGAUCAAACCAAUGAACGGUGGACAAUCCUGAGGCGGCUUAAACAGAGCACAGUCACCAACACUAAUCCUCCUCCCGUCCUGCAAAAAAAGAUCAAAACUUUUAAAUCCAAUUGAACCAAUCUCGACUUUAAAACCCAAUUGAAUGAAUAUUUGACAAAUCAAGCACUAAUCGUUACCUUAGAGAAGGAAGAAGGUGAAGAGAGAGAUACAGACGAAGAACCAGAAGCCUCCAAGCUUGAAAUUAGACGCGAAGGAGGUCUAAACAUAAGCCGACGAUGACCUUUCUUCCUAUCCUCAGAAAGCCCCCUCCCAUGCAUAGACGACGUCUCUCAUUUUUUUUUUUACCCCUUUUCAAAAUACACAAUUCGAUUCGAUUGAAAACCCUAAUUAAGCGAAGAAGAAGAAGAAGGAGAUACGAUUACGAUUCCAGUACCUGAUCCGCGAAUAUCUAACCACGAGAAGAACGAUUAAUCCGUAGAGAGCCGGAGACCGAAGAACGCGAAUCGAAAGCCGCCUUUGAUUUUUUUUUUCUUUUCGAUCCAGCGAGCGAGAGAAAGAGAGAGAGAGAGAGUUUUUUUUUUUUUUAUCAACAAGAAGAAAAAAAAUAGAAUCGAGAGAGAAAGGGGAUUACUACUUUGGAAGAAGUCGGGCAGUUCGGGCAUGAGUUUCGGGCAGCGUUUUGUUUAUUUUUUUACUUUUUUCAGGUGACAUUUGAGAGAUUUUGGAUGGUUUUUUCACCCUUUUUAAUAGCUCUUUUGACUUUCUUUUCUUUUCUUAAAUUAAAAACAUAACAAAAUCCGUGAUUUGUUAAAAUUUUAUUUAGAUUUAAACAAAAAAAAAAAUCUAAAGUUUUAUGAGAACAAAGAUAAGAUCAUUCCAAUCCUCUUUUUUUUAGAAAUAGAAAAUUUAUAAAAUAAAUCUGAGUUUCUUUCAAAUAUUUUUUAAAUAGAUAAAUAUUACCCAUUUUCUUUUGGCGAACUCCAAAAACAGCGGCUGCUACAGAAAAUUUGAACUAUCACCACGGCAAAACACAUCAUAGCAUAGCACUCAUGAAACAACGCCAACCUGCUUUUCUUGACGUUGCGGCUGAUUGCGAGGGGGUGAAAGGAACGCUGAUUUUUUUCAGCGUCAACUGCUUUCCUUAUUUUGUAUUUCGAGCGGUUUACGAGUAACCAUUUUAAUUCUUCGUGCGGUCAAAUUUGCUUCCGUUGUACCUGUAAUUUUUUGUCGCAACGGUGGUUUUGAUGUUCACCAAAAGAACGAGGGUAUUAUAUUAUCCACCAUUUAUAGAAAAAAUAAUAAUAUUUUAUAUAAACAGAGAGAAAUAUAACAUUUCUAUAUUUCAGUGGAACAUAUUAAAAAAAAAUGUGAGUUUCACUCCAAUGUUUUGUUUGAAAUAGAUAAAUUUUAUACUAUCCAACAUUUAUAGAAGAAAAUAUAGUAUUUCUCUGUAAAUCAAGAGAAAUGUAACAUUCUUAUUAUGCAUAUGAAUAUUCCUAUGUUUUAGCGGACAAAAAUAGAAGAGAAUUGGUUUUUUUGUUAGUAAAUAUGUAUAUUUUUAUAGCAAUUUAUUUUUUUUAAAUAAUACUAAUUAAUAAAGUGUAUGUUAAAGUUUGCAAAAACCGAUCAAUUUAUAUAAUAAUACAAUUGUGAGUUGUUCCGGUUAUUCUGGCCGAUUCCGGUUCGAAUGCCCUGACCUACCCCCGACAAUAAAUAAUUUUAUUAUGUUAGUAAUGUGAAUGCUUGUCGUUACAUUGUCCAGUGUCAAAUCACUAUCAACAAAGUACAAGUGACCAAUCAUUUGUCUCUCUUGACACAAACAUUUAACUUUUCACAAUGAGAUCUUAAUACACUACAGAAGCCAUUUGAGCGAGUCGAUUGUCUUCUUCACCCACCGAUUGCUCCUAGACAUGUUCUUCACGGAGCACAGAAUAUGCAAGUAGCAAUCAAGGUUUCCUAAUUUUGAACCGAAGAGACGAGAAGAAGAAAAGAGAUCAGAAAAUGAAGCAUAUAUAGUCGCCUAAACACAUGCCUUCAUCGAAAUUUAAUGUUUUGUAUCUUUAAUGAAACUCAUCGAACUCAUGACUAAAUUGGCUCUUGUGCCACAUCGUUGCUUACAAGCGUUGUAACAUCAUGCAAGAGUAGCCAUUAUGCACUGCUUUUGGGAGUUACGCAACUGCCGAAUACCUCAACCAGACUUGAGCUGACAGCAUCAUGAUGAACCAGAGGCACAAUCAUCAGAACACAACACACGUAUUCUUCAAUUCUUAAGCCACAAGUGUAUUUAUUGCCAUUGAGAGUGUUCUGCAUGUUUUGUUCUAUGCCUUAAACCAAAAUGUAAUGAGGUAUACGAGUAUUCGAUUAGCUUGCUAAUCAUUGUGAUUUUGAGUUACAUAAUCAUAUGAUCUGGAAGUUGUAAACUACUUUUUCUCCAUUUUAAGAGUCUUUGAACUAAUUCUUGACGUUUCUUGUUUUCAACGAAUUUAUAUUUGGGGUUGAUAAACUAGUAUUAAUGGGCCGGAUAGCCGGAUCUUACGAAAUUUGAAUGGCCCAGAUAGACCAGUCUUACCAAACAUGGCCUGCUCCGGCUCAAAACAAAAGUACCUUUCUCUGUUUUUCUUGUUUUCUAUAUCAAAAGCACCUUUCGGUUAGACAGGUUAAAGAUAUGUACUUUUAUUACUCAGACCGACGUUUCCUUAGCUUAAAAAGAAAAUAGUUAGCUUUUUUGUAACCAUAGAAGGUCAAAAGAUAUAGCUAUACAUCACGUCAUAAAUUACAUGAUUACAAUACAACUUUUUUUAUUUGGUAUGGGGAAGAGAACAGAGAAAGACUGGAGCAGGCUGGCUCGUACCUCUAAACCAACCAUGAGCCAGCGUCUGUCGACAUCCUAAUUAGAAUUAUCAAAACUAUAGUACUAUACAUUAAGAACUGUACAUUUGUGUAAAACACUUAGCAGCAUAUUUACCGGAUUAAUUAUCACAAACGACUAUAGAAAACCAUAUUUACAACAAACAUCUACCAGUAAAACUAAAAAAAACAUCAACAAUGGGACCCAUGUUUACAACAAACAUACCAGUAAGACUAAAAAAAACAUCAACAAUGGUAUAGUGUUGAUGGUUCUAUAAUCUGUCAAAACUAGGAUUAAAUAUUCAAAAUUGAUAAAACUUCUAAAUCCAAAUAAACUAAUUCGACAAACCGUAUAAUCUUAUAUGAUAAAUCUGUGUAAAUUUUUCAUACUAUAAAAGUAUAAAACAUGGACUCUCAAUUUUUUGUUUAGUAUAAUAUUUUAGUUAGUUUACUUAUAUAUAUAUAUAUAAAAAUUAACAUAUAAAAUGAUAACGUUUACAUUUUUCAGUAUCGCUUCUUUUUUUCACAAACAUUUUACAGUAUUGCUAGUUUAAAAUUUGACUGCGAUGCUGAAAUGAAAAUGUUUAUUAGUAUCAGUUACCACUUCGUUUUAGGCAUUAUUUGGAUGAUAUUGUAAAUCUAAAAAUAUUAUGGGGUAAAAAGCAGAGGCACAUGAGAGUUAGGGGUAUUGUGUAGUUUCCAAAAAGCAAGCUUCUCUCGUCCUCCCAUGUGCUUCCUCUCCCACUGUCCCCCCUUUUUCCUUUUUCGAUUAAAUCCAAAUUAGUUAAUUUCUAUUUCAUCCUUUUCUUUUGUCGGCUUUUAAUUUCUUAUCACACUUGUUGUUUUAUAUUCUUUUUCUUUUGUCAAAAGUUUUUUUUUUCUAUUCUCUAUCACGCUUUCUACACCUAUUUUGACUGGGUUCACAUUCACAAUAAUAAUAAUAAUAAUAAUAAUAAUAAUAAUAGAAACUCAGAAUGUUUGCAUCAGUUUCAACAGUGACAACUUGUGAGUGUCCAAUCUCAAUGAUUAUGUGGUCAUGCUCCAUAAUAUUAUUAUGAAAAGUCCCUCUCAUUGGCUUAAAUGCUUUCUUUGUUUUAAGUACUGCUAAAUUACUUAAUUCACUAAUUAGUGAUUUAAUUACUAUACUUGUAUAAUGUUUCAAGCCAGAUUCUCAAUCACGUGCAAAAUUCCUUACAAAACAAUAUAGCUGCUUAGCCAUCAACUAAUUACGGAGUUUACAUAUCCAUAUACCUGUCGGAUAUUCAAAUUAGUUAGUACAUUCUUGACCAAAUUUUAAAAAAAUUAAUUAGUACAUUUAUAUGACUGACGUAAAUGAAUGCAUAUCUCAUUUCAAGAUUUCAGUGUUGUGUUUGCCUUAAAGGCUCGCGUGGAUAAAAGAAAAUUUCAUGAGAUUUUGAAUGUACAAACAUGUAACUGUUACGAUACAACACUUAUUAAUUUCAUUGUCCAUGCAUACGUAAAACGUGACUAGUUUUAUGUUUACUGUUUAUUUGCGUGGUUUUCGUUCAUACAUUGCAAAUUGUCGGCAAGAUAUAUCAAGUUGGGUCACUACAGACUACAGUUGUGAUAGUUAUUACCAUAAAUUAAUUUGAAAACGAUGCAUCAAUUGUUUUGACAAAACGUUGAGUUAAUGCUUAAUUAGUAGAACAAACAACAAUAGUUGUAGUGAAGAAAAUAUAAAUAACACGCAUCUCUUAUGAAUAGUAGUAACAUAUUGAUCUUAAUAAAGUUGUACUUGUUGAGAUAUUUACUUAACUAAUUAACCGGUUUAUCUCAGUUGACUAAUUAACCUUAACACACUUCUUAUUGUUGUUUGAGUUUGUUAAAGACACACAAGAUUUGGUUACCCAGUUCCCUUUUGGUACAUCUGGAGAGAGGACGACACUCUCAACGAUUCACUAGCAUCAAGUGUAUACAAUAGCUUUCUACACAACCACCUCAGUGUUUCUCUAUCAAUAUCACCUUUGGUUUAUCUUCCACCUGAGCACCACCAACAGCACCCAAGUGUGAAUCUUCAGCAGUCAAAGAAUCCUCAUUUUGACUUUUGCCAACGGUUUUACAUUUACGUAAGGCAGAGUUUCCUGUCCUCAUCACUGUAUCUGCCACUCCAUCUGUCUCUGAUAUCUCUUCAGUCUUUACGUCAGCAACUACCCGACUAUCACCAUCAUCAGAAAUGUUUCCCCUAAUGCCUGAUGUGUGCCCAGCGGUUGGGGCAAUAUCAUCUGAAUUUUCAUUGCUUUCUAGGCACUGAUCCACCAAUCUUUGCAACUCUUCCAUUUCUGAAUCAGAGGGCUUAGAAUCAUUCACAUUCACUACAGAGGCCAACUGGUCGCCAAUACUACUGACAUGUUCAACAAUGGUGGGAUCCUUGGCAAGAGCUUCAGCUUGCUCGUUAGGCAAACCUGUUAUAUGGUUCUCUGAAAUAUCAUUCAUCAAGGAAUCUGAAACCAGGGAUACCGCGGGUGAUGCAACAGGGGAUUUGGAAAUUUCAUCAGCAGCAGCAGAAGCUAGAAGAUUCAUUCCAACGUCAUCCACACCAGCCUCACAUGCAUUUGCCUCAGAGUCCCUGACACAACUUUCAAUCAAGGCAUUCAUUGAGCUGUGUGAUCCACUAUCCCCUUUUCCAGGUUUGACAACAUCUCCUAAGGUAGGAGACGUGGGUUUGAUAAUAUCUUCUAUUUUACUAGACCCAUCAACGCUAAAAUUAGGUCGAUUUGUAUCAUUGUUCUCUGAAGGAACAGGUGAUGGAGCCCUGCUACUACCAGCUGCAUGAUCCUCAAAGGAACCUCCACUAAAACUCUGUGCCGGACUGCGACCACGUUUUGGCAGCUUAACAAUUAACUUGUUACUGCAACCUUCAGCCAUAGGUAUGUCAGGAGUCUUUUCAGUUGCUGUUCUUUGUGAUGAGAAGCUCCUGCUCAGCCCAACUUCCCUAUGGACUGCACCAGUAUCUCUUUGUUGCCCAUCAUUAACGACAGCUACACCUGUUCCAAGUGAUGGUGCUGAUCUAGUAGAACUUGGAGAUGUGGUUGCAGACUUCAUGUUGUUAUCUGACGGUAUUAUGACAGACACGGACUUAGAAGGAUGUUGAUGAGAUGCUGAUGUCCUGGCUGCAUCAGCAGAUACACCUGAAUGUCUACCGCCAUGAGAAACUUCAGACUGACGAUAUCUUCCAGGCCAAGAUGCACCCUGAUUAGAUCCCGACUUGGCAUCCAUUUCUGCCUCAACACGUUUCUUCCAUGUAUCAACCAAGCUCCUUGCCUUUUUCCCGAUUUCCGAGUUCUUAUGUGAUCGCAAAUGGUUAACAGACUUUCCAAUGUUGCAAGUCUGAAGAGCAUUGAGAUUCACAGGCAGCUUGUCAAGAGCACGCAGCAAGAUCAAAAGAAAAUCGUCCACUGAUCUACCAUUGUCUUUGGGACUGCUCCCAUCCCCAAUUUUCCCUUUAUGAAUUUCCUGUAGCCACUCAUCAAAAACAGGUAAUCCCCUCAGCUGGACAAAACGACUGAGGCAAUCAAACUUGUCUGUUGCUGCUACAACACUUGCAAGAAUGGAUCGCCCAAUCAAAUCUGUUUUCUUCUCGUUCUUCUCGGGCAGCAUGAGCUGUACCAAUUUCUCAACCCCUUCAGAAUCCACUAGCCUCCCUCUCUCAGUAAUUUUUGCAAUCUCAGAUUUCAAACUGCUUUCUGUUCUUACAAAACCAGAACCACCAUCAUCAAUCCGACUUGGGCGUUCUCUUUUCACAGAUUCAGAACCCUGAUCACCACGCUCUCUCUUCCUUCCUUUGCCCUGUGAAGAAGAGGAGCUGCUGUUCUGCAUACCUUCUGUUCCUGUUUUCGCUUGAGAUGUUGUCGGACUAUUCGUUGACUUAGGAGAACGACCACCCUGCUGUAAUGUCAUCUUGGAACGAGUCUUACGCAAUAAGUUAUCUACUUCUUGUUGACGUUCCUGCAUAAAGAAAAACAGUUGUCAAAACCAGAGAAGAAACAGAAUUGGAUAAUAAUGAUUAUGAUCUCACUCACUCACAUCGAUAUAAUCUUGAUCAGUGAGCCACCAAAUAGACUCGUUCAUAACAUCAUAAACCCUCCAGCAAACAAACGAAGAGAUUCCAGAUGGGAGUUCAACGCCUUUGGGAAGAAAGGUAACUUUACACGGAUGAAGCAAAGACGCAGCAGGUAUCUCAUCCUCGUGAAAGGAAUAAAAUAUCUCGUUAGGCUGAGCCUCCAAAAGGACGCCCUUGCCAAGCUUCAACUCACCGGGUCGGUAGAGCCAAUUCACAC